UUAAAUGUAUUUGGCUAAGGUGUAUGUAAACUUCAGACUUCAACUAUUUCACACUUUUUUUCAAACAAUGUGGUUUUUGUUUAAAGGAAGAUAAUCUUUGAAAUGUGUGUUGAAUUACUGUAUUUACACCACCUCCAUCUGUGAUUUCCACUGCAGAUUCUCUCCUUCUUUAGUUACUGUUCAAUCUGUUCUUUUCUCCUGUCCUUACUUGAACUUCUCUUCCAUCACUGACUCGUGACCAGAUCAUAUAUGAGCUAUGUGUUGUAAGUUACUCAGUCCUCCAGAUUUCUUGCCUAUUUUGCAUACCUCUCUCUGCUUUCUUUUAUUCUCCUUGCACAAUUUCUCAUGUAUUUUAUAACAUAAUAUUGUUCACAAAUCAGAACCUGCUGUGAUCUUCUGUGGUUGUCCUUGUAUUAACGUUGGCUCUGCUCUGCCUGUUCGUCCUACUCGAUCCAAACUAAUAAAAUGUUUUUGAAUGUCUUCAAGGCUUUGCAAGAGCGGGACAAUCAAAUCAAGAUGCUGACAGAGCAAGUAUACGGGGGAGAUGGAGAGAAAUGCCCUGCUCAUAGAGGAACUCAAGAAUCCCCUGAAGAAAGACAGAGCUUGCCAUCAGCCAUGCAGCAGAGGAAGCUGGACAAACUAAAUGCUAAGCUGCAAGCCACAGAGACAAGAGCACGGGAGGCAGAACGUGUGGCCGAGCUAGCCAAGACAGACGCCAGGGACACCCUAAACCACAUGAUAAUCUACGAGUCUGGCACUGAUGGUCUGCAGGUGGCCAUCGCUGAGAUCAAAGAAUGUAAGAAUCAGAUGAGAGAUGAGACCGCGAGACGGAGGCCAUGACCACAGAUAUCAACCAGCUGGAAAUGAGAAUUAAUGCAGAUGUUAAGGAAAGUCUCGGUCUGAAGCCCCAAGAGGAAGUGGAUCUGACGGAAUUCAGAAGAACCGAAUCCCUGAAACAGCGGCAGUUCAAAGCAGAGAACCAGGAUCUCACCAAAGAGAUCGAAUGACUGGAAGGGGAGAUACUUGAACUGAAGAAACAAAUCAGAGGAAUGGUAAAGGACAAAGGCACAGCACAUGGAACCACCGUUGGCAGGCAGACAUUCAAUCAAAACAAAACAAUGCGUAACACGUUAUAAAUAAUAUCAAAUAUCAAUGCAGAAUGACGAAUUAGCCAUCCAUUGUGUUAAAGUGUAUAAUAAAGUGUCUUCUAUGCCGUCACUGUUGUCAAAAGAUUAUAAACAUGUUAAAUAAAGUUACUAACCCAGUCAGUCUUUGGGCCACAUCCAGGUUCUUUAUCAGUGGCACACAUGAAGCAGUUGUUGGCUUUGUUGAACUCUGAAAUCCUAGGCAUGAACUGAACAUAUGGCUGUCCCACACAACUACAUAAAAAUAAACAAUUAACAUUUACU